CGUCUAUAUACGUAUAGCAUAUCAAUAAGCGGAGGAAAAGAAACUAACAAGGAUUCCCUUAGUAACGGCGAGUGAAGCGGGAAGAGCUCAAAUUUGAAAUCUUCAAGGUUCUACCUUGACGAAUUGUAGUUUAAAGAAGUGUUUUCUGUUAGAGGAGUAGCAAAAGUUCCUUGGAAUGGGACAUCCAUAGAGGGUGAGAAUCCCGUAUUUGGUUAUUCUUUCUAGCUUUGUGAUACACUUUCAAAGAGUCGGAUUGUUUGGGAAUGCAGUCCAAAAUGGGUGGUAAAUUUCAUCUAAAGCUAAAUAUUGGCGAGAGACCGAUAGCGAACAAGUACCGUGAGGGAAAGAUGAAAAGAACUUUGAAAAGAGAGUUAAACAGUACGUGAAAUUGUCAGAAGGGAAGCGUUUGACACCAGUGUUGUUUUUCCGAAAAUCAAUUAAGAACGGCUUGAUUUUGUGUUGUAUUGACCUUAUCAGCUUUCUUCACUCUUUUUCGAGUCUUUCUUAAUGCACUUUUCGGUUAACAAGUCGACAUCAAUUUCUUUUGUUGUAAAAGGGUAUUUGGAAGGUGGCUUUCUUUUCGGAGAAAGUGUUUAUAGCCCUUAUACCUCUACAAUCGGAGAGAUUGAGGUCUGCAGCGUAGAUCCUUCGGGGCUAGAUACACUUGUGCUAAGUUAUAGCUUUUCAUAGACAACUUGUUGACUAUGCUUAGUCAUGUAGCUUACCCGCUUGUGCUAUUUUACCUACGCUUAGGAUGUUGAGUCAUCACACAUCUCU
rnacentral:rRNA from 1 species